CAGUCAGUGUUGGGUAGUAACGGAUUACAUGUAACGACGUUACGUAAUUUAAUUACAAAAAAAGAGUAACUGUAAUUCGUUACAGUUACAAUGAGAAAAUAUGUAAUUCAGUUACAGUUACUUCCGAAAAUAUUAAGAAUUACAAAUUUAGUUACAUUUAAAAAAAAAUAUGAACAAAAACCUUUGCGAAAUAUGUAAUGAUAUUUUUAUUGCUUUGCGCCCUAUAUCGCCGUUUCCCGCUACGGCUCCUUGUCUCUAUCAUAUUUGCCAGCCGCAAUGCCACUCUGAUGUUCCAUCCUGUGCUGGCGGAGCCUCCUGGAGGAACAGCAAGCGAGCGGACGGUUCCAUUUCAGCUCAAGCAGCGCAUCAAAAAUGACAACCUUCCAGCACUGGAAAUAUAAGGAGCAUUUCAUUUACAUAUGUGAAAACGGCUCAAAUUUAACCGUGCAGUGCAAGAAGUGUUUGCCGGCUAUCAAGAACUUGUCCACGUCGAAGCAAUCUAUGUCAAACCUGAGGAAACAUUUAGAGAGGAAGCAUCCAGGCGUUCUUCUGAAAGGCACGUUUAGUCCAUCUGAUACUCGGGACCCAUCGUCCAUCUUAAUUCUUGAUGCACUGUAUUGUGCCGUGUUUAAUUUUACAAGCCAGGGUGUGCAAAGAAAAAAUCAAGAAAAAUAAAAUGUGAUGUAAAAGUC